AUAAAUUAAAAAUAACAUCCAGGAAACUUUAUUCUUUAUAUUUUUCUGUGCUUUCUUGUUCAUGUACGAUUAAUUAGUAAAUAAUAUCGGUACGUUUAUUCGGGCAAAGCUUCUCUCGUUUAAUUAAAAACAGCACCGAAUCUUUAAUACAUGGACAGAAGAACACAGAUAGAAUACACAAGUAAUUUUUUUUAAAUUACUGGCAUUGUUAUUUAAUUGGUUCGAUUCAGAGUCGUGCGUAAUUAUUGGAAAUUUGUUAGAACUCUGCAAAUGCAAGAUCCUUAUGAUUGCUUAAUUCGUAAUUGUUUUUUUAAGAGACAGAUGUUUGAAAUACGGUUAAAUUUUUUCUUGAUACUUUUAUUCAAUUUUGUUAUGCAAAUUUCGUAAAUUUUUUACCAUUAACAAAGGAACAAAAGGAACAAAAUUAUCGAUCCGGUCUUAUCUACUGAUAAAACGUUUUCUUUUUAA